AAAUGAAGAUUAUUGGGAAUUUGAAUUGAAAAUUCCAAUUAGUUUCCGAUUUUUUAAUAUUUUUCCCGAUAUUUUUCCACUUUUUUCCCGCCAAAUAUAAAUAAAUCGCGUCUAAUCUGUGCAUCUUCAAGAAUGAGAGACGUAGAGAGAAAUUGAAAAGAACUAGGGUUUCGAAAUUUAAAAGAAAAGCAAAUGGAGAAGAGAAAAAUCAGAAAUAAUUGCAGCAAUGGAAGAGUCAGGAUCAACAGAGGGGGCAUGGAAGCGAAAACUUCAGCAAUUCUCGACUCUGCCGAAUCUCACAAAGAUUCUCAAGACGCCAAAGGCAUCGUUGCCAUUUGUGGUUUCUUCAGAUGUUAUGCGUAGUGACAGAGAAGCCACUCGGAAAAACUCCUGUGAAUUGUUUGAUUCCAAUUCCUUAGGAAAUAUGUUACUGUUUCAAUAUCUUAUCAAUGUUCUUGAAGGAGAUUUUCUACCCUGUAUCAAUAUAUAUAAAGAAACCAUGAACUGGAACCUUUGGAGGGAGUGCUUACUCAACAAAUUUCUCUGCUACCUUUUGUUUCUUACAUUCUUACAUAUUUCAUUAAAUGGGUUAAGUUAUUUUCUCACUGAGUCUUCUAUUUGGCUGCUCAUGCUAGAUUUAGUGUCCUUUUGGAUUCUACUGCACUUUCGAUACGAUGCGAUUGAACUCACUGCACUAUCAAUUGAAUUUAAAUGCUAAUUUUAAUGAGAUCAAUUCAGCAUAAAUUUUUCAUUAAAUUUUUUUUCAAUUACAGUUAUAGUAACUGUUUUUUUUAAUCGUAACUAUAACAAUUUUUAUUACUAUUUUCAAUCUCACUACAAUCAAUUUCACUGCUCGUCUAAAUAAAGCCUUAUUUUGUGGGAUUCAAGAAGAGUCAACCAAAGGUUUUAAUGAAAGAUUGCUUGUCUACAAUCUGUGGGCUGUGCCAAGAUUAUGCUGGAAUCAGUAAUGAGUCUGACUGUUCUGAGACUUCUAUGGGAAAAUCAUCUGAGAAUCAUAAUACUGAUUUAGCAAUUGCUGUACUUGAAGUAAAAAAUACUACUUCUAUGGGUAUGCAGAAACUUCUGAUAAUGGUUAGAUCCCAAGAUGUUAUUGAAUAUAAGAUAUUUCUAAAUCAUUUUCACUAUCAUCUCUGACUUUGUGGACCUCUUUAGAUUAUGGAGCUUGACAUCUGUGACAUGACAUGAGAUUAAUAAGUGGCAGGUGCUUGGAACGAUGACUUUUCCAUUGAAAGUUUGUGGGGUUGUUUCCAUGGUCCCUUAUUCAAAAUGUUAAUUGAUCUCGCGUUAAGUUUUGCUCAACUCCUGAUACGAGGGUAAUCAAGAAUUGAGAAACUUAAUCAGAAUUAUCUUCACUGAAAAUGCGUGCUUUGUUGUUGUAGUCUUGUAGAUAAGACAUGACAGUCACGAGACAACUGCAAAUCUAAGCUUGAAGCCAAAAGCUGGAAUAUUUUUGUGAUAUUACCUCUGAAAAUUGGUCUUGUAGAGCCUACUUGUCCAUGUCAUCACAGCAACAUCUUUGGCACGUCUGAUUGCAAGGAAGCUGUAAUAUAGCUCUCUCAUGGAAGUAUCUAAGAACGUAAUUGCUGCUUUGAAUAGUCUAAGAGGAGCAGAUGAGAGCAUUGAGAUUUCAUCCCUUGGAAAAGCAUUGUUUACAGCUGCAAUGAUGAUUUCAACAACUUCAUAGGAGUUCAAGAAAACAUGCAGAUGACUUCUGGUUUUCAAAGGGUCGCAUACUGAAGGCAUAGCAGGGGGAGAUGGAAAAGGAGUGCAUGGGUUUUGCGGCCCUUUUUCUUAGUUCGCUUAAAAGGAAGCUUUUUGUACUCAAAAUUUGAA